CCAGAUAAGAAAACCCCCGAAAUAGUUGCACAGAAAGAAGAUAAUGGUAUACAGGAGGAACCAUGCAGGAACACGGGAACUGAGAAAGCCGAUUUUCAGGCUGAAAAGCAAGGUGGAAAUAAGAGCGAAGCAGCUGAGAAUAGCGGUGAUAGCAAGGGAGCUGGAGAUUCUGGAAGCUCUGCGGUUAGGGUGUAUUGAUGCAGACGAACCAGCUGAUGCUGAUCGAGG
rnacentral:misc_RNA from 1 species